rnacentral:rRNA from 1 species
UACGUAGGUGGCAAGCGUUGUUCGGAAUUAUUGGGCGUAAAGGGCGCGUAGGCGGUCUUGUAAGUCAGCUGUGAAAGCCCGGGGCUCAACCCCGGAGGGUCGGCUGAUACUGCAGGACUGGAGUACGGAAGAGGUAGCUGGAAUUCCCGGUGUAGCGGUGAAAUGCGCAGAUAUCAGGAGGAACACCGGUGGCGAAGGCGGGUCUCUGGGCCGUAACUGACGCUGAGGAGCGAAAGCGUGGGGAGCGAACAGG